rnacentral:rRNA from 1 species
AGGGAAUCUUCCGCAAUGGACGAAAGUCUGACGGAGCAACGCCGCGUGAGUGAUGAAGGUUUUCGGAUCGUAAAGCUCUGUUGCCAGGGAAGAACGUCCGUUAGAGUAACUGCUAACGGAGUGACGGUACCUGAGAAGAAAGCCCCGGCUAACUACGUGCCAGCAGCCGCGGUAACACGUAGGGGGCAAGCGUUGUCCGGAAUUAUUGGGCGUAAAGCGCGCGCAGGCGGCUGGUUAAGUCUGGUGGUUAAUCCUGGGGCUCAACCCCGGGUCGCACUGGAAACUGGGCAGCUUGAGUGCAGAAGAGGAGAGUGGAAUUCCACGUGUAGCGGUGAAAUGCGUAGAGAUGGGGAGGAACACCAGUGGCGAAGGCGACUCUCUGGGCUGUAACUGACGCUGAGGCGCGAAAGCGUGGGGAGCAAAC